GUUCAGUUAACGGUUUCACUUGGGUUAACAUGGGCGGGCCCGGUUUUCAAAAAUACAACCGCGGGUAUCCUAACCCGCCCAAACAAGUAAAACACUUGGUUUGUUUUAGGUUUUUACUUUUACAAAUGAACUAGCGCACCUUCUCUAUCACUUACUUUACAAUUUCAGACUACCUUCUCUCUCACCCACUUCACAAACCCUAAAAAAUGGUUGAGCCGCCGCCCCCUUACCACCAAAUCACCUUCAUUCAUCUCCAUCUUUCCACUGGAUCGUCCAUGGACAUCACCAUCCACCACCAUAACGUUCUUUCUGCAAUCACUUAACAUAUCUCGGCCACUAACCCACCAGACUCGUGCCUCACCAUAGCCAUCUUCUUCAGGAAUUUAUCAUUCAUCUUGUAAGGUCAAGCUUUCUUACUUCUUUUAGAAUUUUUCAAUUUUAAAUUUUUGGGUUUCUCUUCUGUAUCUUUGUUUUUGUUGUGUAUUCUGAUUGUUGUUUUCUUUCUUUUUUAUGCUAAUAAUCUAUCUUCUUCAUGGUUCUUGAACAAGGGAUCAUUGAAUCUUGUAGUCGUAUUUCUCGUUCUUGUCCACAAAGAUUGGUGAAGAGAAAUUGUCUUACAAGGGCUUAUUGAUCCAAAAUAGAUGAAGAUUUCAAUUGAGUAGUGCAUUAUUAUGCUAUAUUUGGAUGUUAAGAGUUACAUAUAUAAUUUAGUCCAUUAUUAUGCUAUAUGGAUGCUAUGAGUGACAACAUAUGGAAUUUGUAUUAUAUUAUUAUGCAGUAAAAAGA